rnacentral:rRNA from 1 species
CACGGGGUUGCGAGCGUUGUCCGGAUUUACUGGGCGUAAAGGGAGCGUAGGCGGACUUUUAAGUGAGAUGUGAAAUACCCGGGCUCAACUUGGGUGCUGCAUUUCAAACUGGAAGUCUAGAGUGCAGGAGAGGAGAAUGGAAUUCCUAGUGUAGCGGUGAAAUGCGUAGAGAUUAGGAAGAACACCAGUGGCGAAGGCGAUUCUCUGGACUGUAACUGACGCUGAGGCUCGAAAGCGUGGGGAGCAAACAGGAUUAGAUACCCUGGUA